rnacentral:rRNA from 1 species
UAUCAUUAACUGAAUCCAUAGGUUAAUGAGGCGAACCGGGGGAACUGAAACAUCUAAGUACCCCGAGGAAAAGAAAUCAACCGAGAUUCCCCCAGUAGCGGCGAGCGAACGGGGAGGAGCCCAGAGCCUGAAUCAGCAUGUGUGUUAGUGGAAGCGUCUGGAAAGGCGCGCGAUACAGGGUGACAGCCCCGUACACAAAAGCGCAUGUGCUGUGAGCUCGAUGAGUAGGGCGGGACACGUGGUAUCCUGUCUGAAUAUGGGGGGACCAUCCUCCAAGGCUAAAUACUCCUGACUGACCGAUAGUGAACCAGUACCGUGAGGGAAAGGCGAAAAGAACCCCGGCGAGGGGAGUGAAAAAGAACCUGAAACCGUGUACGUACAAGCAGUGGGAGCACAGGUUUACCUGUGUGACUGCGUACCUUUUGUAUAAUGGGUCAGCGACUUAUAUUCUGUAGCAAGGUUAACCGAAUAGGGGAGCCGGAGGGAAACCGAGUCUUAAUUGGGCGUUAAGUUGCAGGGUAUAGACCCGAAACCCGGUGAUCUAGCCAUGGGCAGGUUGAAGGUUGGGUAACACUAACUGGAGGACCGAACCGACUAAUGUUGAAAAAUUAGCGGAUGACCUGUGGCUGGGGGUGAAAGGCCAAUCAAACCGGGAGAUAGCUGGUUCUCCCCGAAAGCUAUUUAGGUAGCGCCUCGUGAAUUCAUCUCCGGGGGUAGAGCACUGUUUCGGCUAGGGGGCCAUCCCGGCUUACCAACCCGAUGCAAACUGCGAAUACCGGAGAAUGUUAUCACGGGAGACACACGGCGGGUGCUAACGUCCGUCGUGAAGAGGGAAACAACCCAGACCGCCAGCUAAGGUCCCAAAGUCAUGGUUAAGUGGGAAACGAUGUGGGAAGGCCCAGACAGCCAGGAUGUUGGCUUAGAAGCAGCCAUCAUUUAAAGAAAGCGUAAUAGCUCACUGGUCGAGUCGGCCUGCGCGGAAGAUGUAACGGGGCUAAACCAUGC